rnacentral:lncRNA from 1 species
GGAGCCCAAAUCUUUAGUGAAGGUGGGCUUGACUACUUGGGAAACCCAAGCUUGGUUCAUGCCCAGAGCAUCUUGGCUAUUUGGGCUACCCAAGUUGUCUUGAUGGGGGCAGUUGAGGGCUACCGUAUUGCUGGUGGACCACUCGGUGAGGUUGAAGAUCCACUUUACCCCGGUGGAAGUUUCGACCCAUUGGGCCUUGCUGAUGAUCCGGAGGCUUUUGCUGAGCUUAAGGUUAAGGAACUCAAGAAUGGAAGACUUGCUAUGUUCUCCAUGUUUGGUUUCUUCGUUCAGGCCAUUGUUACAGGAAAGGGCCCAUUGGAGAACCUAGCUGAUCAUCUUGCUGAUCCAGUGAACAACAAUGCAUGGGCCUAUGCCACCAACUUUGUCCCCGGAAAGUGAGAGAGGAGGAGAGCUUUGAACUUCUUACUUUCGGUUUGAGCAGUUUGUGUGUUUGUUAUGUAUAUUGGUCCGAUCUAAUGAAAAAAAGUGUGAAUUUAUAUGUCUUUGUUAUGUAUAAGUUGAUACCCUAUGUUGUUUGUUUGUUCUAAAAAUGCAGUAGUACCUAAAAUGUAUCUAUCUCAUCUUACAUAAUCACUUGGUUAGGGCCAUGGAAUGGUGGCCUUAACCAAUUUCUUUUGGGACGUUUCAAAUUAGCUCAAUAUAAAUGCUGCUAAAAAUCUUCAAUAUUGUUGGACACAAUUGGCUAUCAUGUAAAAUUUGCUCAUAAUUCUCGUAGCUUAAGAAGAUUAAUUUGAUAUAUAGUUGCCUAUCAAGUUAUAAAGAAUCAAAAAUGGAUAAUAGAAAAAGAAAAGAAAAGAAAAGGUGAGAAUACAUGAAUUAAUAGUAGUAAUGUAGUAGUAAAACUAGACUUGUAGGUAAGUAGUUUCGUUUUUGCUCAGAAAGGGUACAAAGACAACU